UAAACUUACUUGUUUACGCAAUACCGGGUGGAAUCAUCGUACUUCUCGCUAUUCUUCUGGUUCUGGGGUUAUUAUGUCACCGACGAAGAGUUUCGCCAAAGAACGCCAAGUCAAAUAACACUGAAUAUGCUGACGUGGCAGCACCGCCCGAAUACGCAGUAAUAAAAGACGCACACAGGGUUGUGGCGUAUGAAAAUGUCCACAUUAACCCACAAGUCGUUUUGUACGAAGAUAUGCGGUAAUUUUUAAAGCCAAAAAAAUGGAACUCUGAAUCGCAUGCACUCGUUACCGUACAAAGUUUUAUACAUAUGUGGGCUGGGGGAAGAUGGGACAUCUUUUUAUUCUUUUUUCGUCCCAUUUCAUGGUAAACAAAAAACAUUCAAAGAAUUAUAAACAUUGUAUUCUCACCACUCCCAUGGACCACUGUUAAUUGUUUAAAACACGAUCAGGAUAUUUGGAAAUUAUGUAAUAAAGGUGUUCCGUCUCCCCCACCCUGAUAUAGCUUACACACGCUGCGUACAAAAACAAUGUUGUCGUGUGCAUGUCUUCCUACUUAUUCGGCCGAACCGAAGUACUUGGUAAUCCUUGUCCGGUGUAUCUUGCCGCAGGAUGAAAUACAUGGCCGUCUACCAACACUUGUUUCCAGCGGCCAUUCGAUCGUUAGUUUCCCCUCUACAUGUUACUGUGAACAACUGUUUUGUGAUCCACAAUUUUCUAAUGUUUUACAGUGUUAAGUGUAUUAUAUUGAGUUUCAUUGUUUAAACUUGUGUGUAGUUUUAAUUAUUUAGUUUUAACUGUACCAGUGAAGGUCUGAGAGCAGGAGCCAUAUACGUUAUUUCUGUGGCAUGUUUCUGUAAUUCAGUGUGUAAAUUCCAGUUACAACUGCAUGCAGUAUUGAGCUAUAAAAAAGUUAGUAGGAUUAUUGGUCAAAGCUGAUUUUUUGAUGCAUUGUGCUGUGUAUUUUUCUCACUUCUUUUAGUGCAACCAACUUGUAGUUCUGUGGGGUAAGAUGGGAUACCGUCAGCAACUAAAUCCCAUAUUCACUGAUCGCGUUUUAAACAACCAACCAAGCUAUUUUAUGGUUGUUAAGAUACAGUUAUAUAAUUUUGAAAAUAUUUUUGUUUAAUACCAUAUUGGACAAGAAAAGAGAAUAAAAAUAUAUCCCAUCUUACCCCACCAUAUACAUACACUGCAAUUUUGCGCUUACGUUAUUUGGUUAUAUAAGUUAAAUGUGCUUUAUGCAGAAUAAAUUUUGUGUGUCUGAAUGUAUUUAAACUCACUAGUAAUACAUAGUUUUUUGAUACUUCGCACACAUAGUUGGAAGUAUAUGAAUAUAGCACUGUGGGGGAAGAUAUGGCACCUAUAGCACACUAUAUUAAAACAUCCUGGUGUCCCAUCUCCCCCCAACCUACUAUAACCUACGUAUACUUGCUAUACAACUUGGUGAAGUACUGAAAAGCUGCUCUUUGUUUAAUACCAAAUUGGACGUAAAAAGCAGAAAAGUAAGGUGUCCCAUCUUCUUCCACCCUUGCUAUAAAUAUGCCAUUGCAACGAGGUGUACUGAGCAUAACCUUUGUCGGCCCCCGUUUUAACGUCUUGUAAAGAUCGCCUUCAUUUAAACGUCUUGGUCGGCAAAUAAGUAAAACUUCAGAGAUACUCUGUUAGAUAAGUUGGACUCAAUAAAUAUCUUACGUCUCGGUCGCGAACUUCUCAAACCUUCAGACGUCGAAAGGUGAAUGCAAACAACAGCAGGUAUGGCAAUCAAAGCAAACGAGACAUGUUGUCCCAAAUGCUUGUACAAUACCCGGGAUUGUAUUAAAAAAAUGUCAUGAGCACUGUGUGUCUUAUAUAUAAGAUUUUUCAAAGGCCACAACAUGCGGAAAAGACCUUAGUUUUUACCUAGAGUGCACGUUUCCGGGAAGUACUUGUUAUAAAGGCAAGAGUUAUGUACAGUAUUAUUCGUGAUGAUUAACCGACAAAAUCAAUAUGUAUACUGCCUGGUGACGUAACAGUGCAUUGUGUGACGUUGUUUCGAAAAUUAAUUGUUGUUUGAAAUUGAAAACUUGGCGGUAAAGUUUUUGCCACAAUGUGUGUUGUUAUACCUAUUUUGGUAACUAACUUCUAUUAGAAUGGUUGUGAUGUUUCUGCAGCCGAAAGCUUAUUGACCUACAGGAAGCCCCGCACGUACCAGUGUUUGCUAGAUGACAAUAUGUCUCGAUAGAAAAUAACAUUUCGUUUGCCUGUUCAGCUUGUUCUAUUAAAAAAUUAUGUUGGGCCAUUCGGGUUACCGGUUUUCUGCAUGACUUAUUAGCUUUGCAGCACGCCUUUUUUAUUCAUUAAAGAUACCUUACCGACAGAACACACAAACGUGUAACGUUAAAAUCACUGUUUCUGUAUUUAUUUGAUGUUCAUUUGUGUAUUUCUUUUUUUUUUCGUUGUGUGACUUUUUAAGUCUAUUUUCAUUUUUUUCAAUCACUUCGUUUUCCUUUAAUUCUUUCUCGGGGCAAUUAUUGAAUCGGCGUAUUUUGCAUCCCGCCAGCGACUGCAGGCAUGCUGAGACGUAUAGCUGUUUGGAAAAGCGAGAUCUCUCUCUCACUUUAUACUGUUUACAGCUAUUUGAUUUUCUGCUUUUUUAACAUAGACUGUUCAGUAGCCUAUUCUGUGUUUUUAUAGUGCACGACUUUAUGUGCGUUCACUAAUUAUAGAUAUUAUUGUAUUUUAGUAA